UUCCUGGUAGCUCAGACGGUAAAGAACCUGCCUGCAAUGCAAAAGAUUCUGGUUCGAAUCCUGGCCAGGAAG
rfam:Ovis aries breed Texel chromosome 4, whole genome shotgun sequence.